rnacentral:tRNA from 1 species
GGAGAGGUGACCGAGUGGUUUAAGGUGCACGCCUGGAAAGUGUGUGUACUCCAAAAGGGUACCGCGGGUUCGAAUCCCGCCUUCUCCGCCA